rnacentral:rRNA from 1 species
GAGUUUGAUCCUGGCCAGGAUGAACGCUAGCGGCAGGCUUAAUACAUGCAAGUCGUGGGGCAGCAGGGGUAGCAAUACUCGCUGGCGACCGGCAAACGGGUGCGCAAUACGUACGCAACCUUCCUUUAAGCGGGGAAUAGCCCAGGGAAACUUGGAUUAAUACCCCAUAAUAUGAUGAAAGGGCAUCCUUUUAUUAUUAAAGCUCCGGCACUUAAAGAUGGGCGUACGGCUGAUUAGGUAGUUGGCGGGGUAACGGCCCACCAAGCCUACGAUCAGUAGCUGAUGUGAGAGCAUGAUCAGCCACACGGGCACUGAGACACGGGCCCGACUCCUACGGGAGGCAGCAGUAAGGAAUAUUGGUCAAUGGACGCAAGUCUGAACCAGCCAUGCCGCGUGGAGGAUGAAGGUCCUCUGGAUUGUAAACUUCUUUUAUCUGGGACGAAACACUUCUUUGCUAAGAGGCCUGACGGUACCAGAUGAAUAAGCACCGGCGGACUCCGUGCCAGCAGCGCGGUAA